rfam:Oryza sativa Japonica Group DNA, chromosome 1, cultivar: Nipponbare, complete sequence.
UAAAAAACAAACCCUGAAUUUUCGUGUCCAACUUUGACUAUCCGUCUUUAUAAAUUUUUUUUAUAAUUCGUAUUUUCAUUAUUGUUAGAUGAUAAAAUAUAAUUAAUAUUUUAUGUGUGAUUUGUCUUUUUAAUUUUUUCAUAUUUUUUUUAAAAUAAGACGAACGGUAAAACAUUGAACACGGAAAUCAGGGUUUCUCGUUUU